AUGUCGACGCAGUCCAUCUCGCCCGCCUCCGUGUCCGCGCAGUUCCCCUACCCUGCUACCGCCGCGGCGGCGGCCCCGUCGUACUUCCCCGUGCCCUUCCACCUCCAGACUUCGCAGUACCCCACCUGGCCGACGGUGGCCCCCGCGCAGCCGGCGCCGGCGUACAACGCCGUCUACCCCAUGCCCCAAGUCCAGCAGGCACAACAACUGUUCCAGAGAGACUCGCAGAUAAUCAGCCCUGAGGCUCUCGCCACUGUGAAGGCUGCUAUUGCAGAUAAUGACAAAGACAAGAAAGUUGAAGCAAACAAAAAGGCAGUCCCUCGAAAGGCAGCUGGGCAAUGCUGGGAGGAUCCGACGUUAGCUGACUGGCCUGAAAAUGACUUCCGUUUGUUUUGUGGUGAUCUUGGAAAUGAAGUGAAUGAUGAUGUUCUGACCAAGACUUUUUCAAAAUAUCCAUCCUUCAACAUGGCUAAGGUUAUACGGGAUAAGUCUACCGGUAAAACUAAAGGCUACGGGUUCGUUAGUUUUGCCAAUGCAUCGGAUCUUGCAGCAGCACUGAAAGACAUGAACGGUAAAUAUGUUGGAAAUCGACCAAUCAAGCUACGGAAGAGCACAUGGAAGAGUAGAAUAGACUACGAAGCUUUGCUGAAGCCGAAGACUCGGCCACAGAAGAAGCUCAAAGUGCAACCAAGAAGUGUUUUACACAAGUGA
rnacentral:rRNA from 1 species